GGGCCCGCACAAGCGGAGGAACAUGUGGUUUAAUUCGAUGAUACGCGAGGAACCUUACCCGGGCUCGAACGGUGCAUGAAUACAUCAGAGAUGGUGUAGCUAGCAAUAGCAUGUAUCGAGGUGCUGCA
rnacentral:rRNA from 1 species